CUGCCACAUCCAAAAGGGAAGAAAAAGAGACAGGACCACAAAAUGGUGUGGGUGCAUAACCCAUCAGCCACCCACUCAGUGGGGAAAAGGUAUCACCUGCUGCCAUACUGAAUCAUUGUUUGUUGUUGUUUUAAAAAAGGUGCUCCCUGCACCUCUCCCAAGUUCAGAACAGACAAGAGGGUGGGUCUCCAAUGCUGCCAUACAAUGUAAUGUAGGCAUUUGGGUGGCAGGGGGGUUAAUAAUGUAGGAGAGGCUAAGACACUGCAAACAGGACCCAAGCAGAAAGAUCAUUUUAUUCAAGAUUUUAUUUUGAGGGGAUAUUUACUGUGACCUUUUGUGAGCACCAUAUUAGGUUCUGGCAGGCACACACUGGGAAUCCUUGUAUUAAGCAGAUUCCAACUGAACCACCUAAUCCAGCUCUCCUGGCACCGAAGCCAACCCACACAGUUCCACUGUGUGUAUGAACACUGAAGCCACACAAGGAACACCAGUUACACAGGUCUUUCUAAUCUAGUCAUUGCUGGAGGGAUGUAUAAAUGGAGCAAUUGUUAGCACCGAAUCUGGGAGGUUAUCUGUCUAAUUUCCAUAUUCUAUCUCAUGGUCACAUUCUAAUGUCAUAGUUCAACAUGAACAAAAUAAUGCACUGAGGGAUUACAUCAGUAAAGAGGUCGGACGGAAGGAAUUUAGUUAUCAGUUGUUGUCAUUGGAUUCUGUGGAGCAGAAGAAAUGAUGGUUAACAGGCCAGUGGCUCCCCUUUCACCCCAAGGAAUUGGUGUCAACAGGGCGAAGAGACUGGGUUAGCCUUUACUCAAAUGAGGCAGUAUCCAACUAAGUUUUACUCAAGAGUAGAGCCACAGGAAUAAGUGUACAUGACUAAGUUAGGUUCAUUCAUUUCAAUGGAUGUACUGUAAGUAGAAUUUAUUUAUUGAAAUUUUAUAUUCCAUUUUUCACCACGUAGGUCUCAACAUUAACAUAUACAAUAUACAAAUUUUAAAACACCCCCAUUAAAACCUCAAGAAAACAAAAACACAAAACAUGAGAAGCAUUCAGGGUGCAAAGGCCUCCUGAAAUGAAAUUAAGCAGGUACCUGAAACUCAAUAGGCAUGGUGCCUGUCUAACUCCUUGUCAGAGGGAGUUCCAUAGAGUUUGGCCCCAGACUCUGAAGGCACAACUAUUUGUUGACAUGAGUCAGAGACGGAGCCACUAAAAGGAUCCCCUGCUCCCUGAUGAUCUCAGUGAUCAACUUGGGGUGUACGGGGAAAUGUGAUCCUUAAGCUACCCUGGGCCCAAGUUAUUCAGAUCUUUGUGCACUAGAACCUUCAACUUGACCAGGUAGCAGAUGGGAAGCCAGUGCAAGCCUCAGGUUCAAUUCCCAGCAUCCCAGGGUAAGGCUGGGGAAAAUUCCUGUCUGAAGUCCUGGAGAGUCUGUCACGGAGAAUGCUGCCUCUCAGGCCGCCACCAUGCCAAGCCUCUGCUGAUCUAAACACCUCUGAGAGGGUUUGUAGGGAAGGAGGUAAGCUUUAUGAUAUUUGGGUCCUAAGUCACACUAAUGUGACCACCUUGAAUUGGGCCCUGAAGUGAACUAGCAACCAUGCCAGCUGUUUUAAACCAGAGCCUAUGUGAGAUCUACAUGGAACCCCAGACAUAAAUCUUGUUGCAUUUUGGAUCAAAUAAAGCUUUUUCAAGUUGUCUUCAAUGGCAGCCCUGUGUAGUGUGCACUGCAACAAUCCAAUAUUGAAGUUACCAGAGCAUGGAGUAGAGUGGCCAGAUCCUGUUUCCAAAAGGGGUUUCUGCUGGCAAAUCAGCUGGAGCUGAGAAAAGGCACUCCUAGCCAUCAAGGCCACCUGAGUCUCCAAGAGCAUCCCCAAAAUGAAACCCCCAGGGCAGGAUGCUUCCCCACCUCCUAGACUGAGAACACUUUUUUUUUUCCAGGAUUUAGUGUGAUUCAAUGAAUGCCCCAUGUUUGCAUGUCCUGUGGCAUUGAUUCUGAAUGUCCCUCUAAUAUACACCCUCCUUGCAGUUCAGUUCCUCUCCUCACUCCAUGUCUCUCCUCUGCUUACCAAAAGAUAACCUGUACAGAAUCUAAACUGGGUGGCUGGUUUCUUGUCAUUGGUGAGUCAACAACAUCACUUUGAGAGGAAGGGGUUUGGUUCCCUAUUCACAGCCAUCACCAAAAACAUCUGGAAAUCAAUGAACUGCUUCCAGGAACACCGUGUCUUUUCUAGAGCAGUGGAGACAUAAAUUCCAGCUACCAGUUGUGCAAUCAAAUACACACACAGUACAAACCUUGCCAGCAUCCGAGCAAAAUAAAGUCAGCAUUUGUGAGUAAACAUUCACAAAAUGAAUGAAUGGUACUGGCAGGGUUCUCAUUUGUUGGGGCCUGAGAGCAAGCACCUUGGAAACAAAACAAGUGCUAACAUUUGCUGGAACGUUUGUGUCAACAUAUAAGGCCAACACAUUUCUCGGCCAGAAAGUGUUGCCACAAUUGGGGCAAAAAGGCAGACCACCCAAAAUGUGCUUGAUCCAACUCACCUAGAAAAGGAUAUUGCAGAGAUAGACAAGGCUAAGAAAAAGGCAACCAACAUGACCAAGGGACUGGAGAAAUUCUCCUGGGGUGGGGGGAGAUUGCCUCAUUUGCGACUUUUUAAUUUAGCGAGGGAAAGUAAGGUACAUGAUGAAGGUAAAUAAGAUUAUGGAGAAAGCAGACCCCCACGUUGCAAAAAUGCAUUUAAAAAGAAGAAUCAACAAAUAAAAGGCAAGUUGAAAACCUAAAACUAAGGACUAAAAACAGUUCUGACUACAAAUUGUAUCUAAAAUGCCUGGGAGAAAUGGGGAAGUGUUAACCAGAUUCAGAAAAUCUUCAGCUGUUGCCAAAUGUGUCUCCUUAGGGACAGCAUUCCAUAAUCAGGGAUCACCACAGAAAAGUAAUGAAAAAGGGUGGGUGGGUAUUUGUAGGAGAGAUUCACCCUUGCAAAUGUUACACAAAUAUACACACUUAUACCCAUAUGUAGUGGAGACUGGUGCUCAUUGUGGGUAGUAGGGCAGGAGGCAGGGAAGCCAAUGGCAGCUGGAGAUGCUGUGUACACACCAGACGUGUAAUGUACUUUGCUUCCCCCAGUGGAUCCUGGGAACUGUAGCUUACUCCUCAGAGUAAGGAGAGGAGGGGGGGUAAUAUGUGUUUAUAUAAUGUGUACACAACCAUUGACAAGCAGAGCUAACCAGUUCUAGCUUUGUCCUCAUCUUCCUCCUUGCUAAGUUUCACUCAGACACAACUGAGACUAAGAAGGAGGAAGCAGAGAGCCAAGAAGACCACCCCUUGGCCUGGUUGUAAGGCGGCAGGCAGGUGGGCUUGAGGCUGCAGGGGCAGAGCCCUGUUUGCCCUAAUAGAUCAGUUUCCACUUCAGCCUUCUUCAGAUGUUUUGCCCUCCAGAUGUUUUGGAUUGCAAUCCCCACCAGACCCAACCAGCCAUUGCUGGUGGAACAUGUAGUCUGGAGGGCACCAGGAAGAGGAAGACUCUUCUAAAGGUUCCACAGCGGCAAGAUGGGGAAGAACCCCCCUCCCCCCCACACCUACACAAACAAACAAACAAACAAACAAACAAACAAACAGAUAAUUUCAUCCCUCAGGCUGGAGCAACUCCUUUCAAGCAGCUUGACUGUAUCUUCUUGGUUCUAUCAUGGCAGCCCUCUCUCCCAAGACCUGGCACAAAUUGACAGCACCAGUGUUGAAGUGUGAACUGCAGUAGUGUAUCAUCAUUAUGACAUAAUGAUAAUUCUCUCUCUCUCUCUCUUUCAAAUCACUCAACAGAAACCCCUUGUGAUGCAACAUGAACCCUUCAGGGCAGGUAGGACAGUUUAACUUCAUUGUCUGCUCCCUCCUCCCACGUUCCACCUUAAGAUGAUGACUUAAUGCAGACUCCAGGCAUCACUAUCAUUGAGUGUGCUUUUUUUCAGCCCUGCUGCAUUUAACAUCUAGCCUCAUGAUGUGUUCCAGAGAAUACAGAAGCUUGCUCACUGUUACUGUUUUGUGGUACUUUGGCUGGUGUCAUAAGUCCUACAAUCCCUGUUUGGCCGUGAAGCUCACUGGGCAACCCUAAGCCAGUCACCAUCUCUACCUACCCUCCUAGCUUCCACGGUUGUUGUGAGAAUAACAUUGGGAGAUGGCACUGAACUAUAAAUUCAUUAAAGUAUAAAAUAAUAAAAUACAGAACAAAUGGCUCAUGCUGAAUCAAAUUGUCUAAGAAUGGCAAAAAAGGAAAUAUUUUCAUCAGGAGAUGGAAUGUCAAAACUGUCUGAUUUAAAUGCAGUUCAUUAAUAAUUAAAAAGGAAAGAAAGAAAAGAAAAAUUAAUAAAAAUGUGGAUUUUGGAAUUCACCUUUGCUAUGUAAGUUUUUGCUUAAUCCCAUCAGCACGAACCUUUGCAACACAAUCAUAUUUCUCAGGAACUGCCCCCCUCACUUUUACUUCUCUUUCCCUUUGGUCACACAAUGGCUGACUCACCCUUGAGUCAGCAUUAAACAUGUUCCCAGAUAAAACUACUGCACUGCACCCGGAAGGAGUUUGCACAUGGCACUAGAUAUGUUUGUAUUGCCAUGUGUUGGGGCCGAGGGAACUGUGUUUGCACACAGCACAGGAGACUGAGCAAGAGGAGCAGUGCCUGCUUUGAAUGGGGUGCAGAGGAAAAUGCAAAUGAAAGGCAUACCGUGUGUACAGGACUCAGUGUGCUUUGUUCAAAAAGUUCAGUGACAGAAGUCUGUUUCUUCUCCAAAAUAGAAACCUCAGUCAUUUCCAGUUCUUGUUCUCUGUGUGGAUGGGUGUGCAUACACAGUGAUCUAACAUGAUUACUAGAUUCACCCCACACAACAGCAAGCAACCCUAAAGAUAUCAGAUUUAUUAUUGCGACCUGUAGCGCUGUCAAGGCAGAACUUUGGGGCAGUAGUCCAGGGCCCCCCAUUCAGAAGAAUAAGCCCCCAAAUGCAGCAGGGCUGAAUUAGGAAGCAAAUGAAAUAAUGCACAGUACCAUUUAGUCAUGCUGGCCACAUGACCCGGAAGCUGUGCACCGGCUCCCUCGGCCAAUAAAGCGAGAUGAGCGCCGCAACCCCAGAGUCA